rnacentral:rRNA from 1 species
CAUCGAGACUCCUACGGGAGGCAGCAGUGGGGAAUAUUGCACAAUGGGCGCAAGCCUGAUGCAGCCAUGCCGCGUGUGUGAAGAAGGCCUUCGGGUUGUAAAGCACUUUCAGUCGUGAGGAAGGUAGUGUAGUUAAUAGCUGCAUUAUUUGACGUUAGCGACAGAAGAAGCACCGGCUAACUCCGUGCCAGCAGCCGCGGUAAUACGGAGGGUGCGAGCGUUAAUCGGAAUUACUGGGCGUAAAGCGCAUGCAGGUGGUUUGUUAAGUCAGAUGUGAAAGCCCCGGGGCUCAACCUCGGAAUAGCAUUUGAAACUGGCAGACUAGAGUACUGUAGAGGGGGUAGAAUUUCAGGUGUAGCGGUGAAAUGCGUAGAGAUCUGAAGGAAUACCGGUGGCGAAGGCGGCCCCCUGGACAGAUACUGACACUCAGAUGCGAAAGCGUGGGGAGCAAACAGGAUUAGAUACCCUGGUAG